AAACCUAUAAGUUAUUUAAACUAUUAACCUUCAAAGUUGACAAUGCUAUUGCUUGGUUUG
rnacentral:tRNA from 1 species